GAUCGGCCACAUUGGAACUGAGACACGGUCCAAACUCCUACGGGAGGCAGCAGUGGGGAAUAUUGCACAAUGGGCGAAAGCCUGAUGCAGCAACGCCGCGUGAGUGAUGAAGGCCUUCGGGUCGUAAAACUCUGUCCUCAAGGAAGAUAAUGACGGUACUUGAGGAGGAAGCCCCGGCUAACUACGUGCCAGCAGCCGCGGUAAUACGUAGGGGGCUAGCGUUAUCCGGAUUUACUGGGCGUAAAGGGUGCGUAGGCGGUCUUUCAAGUCAGGAGUGAAAGGCUACGGCUCAACCGUAGUAAGCUCUUGAAACUGGGAGACUUGAGUGCAGGAGAGGAGAGUGGAAUUCCUAGUGUAGCGGUGAAAUGCGUAGAUAUUAGGAGGAACACCAGUUGCGAAGGCGGCUCUCUGGACUGUAACUGACGCUGAGGCACGAAAGCGUGGGGAGCAAACAGGAUUAGAUACCCUGGUAGUCCACGCUGUAAACGAUGAGUACUAGGUGUCGGGGGUUACCCCC
rnacentral:rRNA from 1 species